rnacentral:rRNA from 1 species
AGUGGCGGACGGGUGAGUAACACGUAAGAAUUUGCCUUUAGGAGGGGGACAACAACUAGAAAUGGUUGCUAAUACCCCAUAUGCUUUCGAGUGAAAUGGAUUUUUCCGCCUAGAGAGAAGCUUGCGGCUGAUUAGCUUGUUGGUGAGGUAAUGGCUCACCAAGGUGACGAUCAGUAUCUGGUUUGAGAGGACGAUCAGACACACUGGAACUGAGACACGGUCCAGACUCCUACGGGAGGCAGCAGUGGGGAAUUUUCCGCAAUGGGCGAAAGCCUGACGGAGCAAUACCGCGUGAGGGAUGACGGCCUAUGGGUUGUAAACCUCUUUUUUCAGGGAGGAAUCAAUGACGUGUACCUGAAGAAUAAGCAUCGGCUAACUCCGUGCCAGCAGCCGCGGUAAGACGGGGGAUGCAAGUGUUAUCCGGAAUCACUGGGCGUAAAGCGUCUGUAGGUGGUCCAAUAAGUCAACUGUUAAAUCUUGAGGCUCAACCUCAAAAUCGCAGUCGAAACUAUUAGACUAGAGUAUAGUAGGGGUAAAGGGAAUAUCCAGUGGAGCGGUGAAAUGCGUAGAGAUUGGAAAGAACACCGAUGGCGAAGGCACUUUACUGGGCUAUUACUAACACUCAGAGACGAAAGUUAGGGUAGCAAAUGGGAUUAGAUACCCCAGUAGUCCUAGCCGUAAACAAUGGAUACUAGAUGUU